rnacentral:rRNA from 1 species
AUUGAACGCUGGCGGCAGGCCUAACACAUGCAAGUCGAACGGUAACAGGAAGCAGCUUGCUGCUUCGCUGACGAGUGGCGGACGGGUGAGUAAUGUCUGGGAAACUGCCUGAUGGAGGGGGAUAACUACUGGAAACGGUAGCUAAUACCGCAUAACGUCGCAAGACCAAAGAGGGGGACCUUAUGGCCUCUUGCCAUCGGAUGUGCCCAGAUGGGAUUAGCUAGUAGGUGGGGUAACGGCUCACCUAGGCGACGAUCCCUAGCUGGUCUGAGAGGAUGACCAGCCGCACUGGAACUGAGACACGGUCCAGACUCCUACGGGAGGCAGCAGUGGGGAAUAUUGCACAAUGGGCGCAAGCCUGAUGCAGCCAUGCCGCGUGUAUGAAGAAGGCCUUCGGGUUGCAAAGUACUUUCAGCGGGGAGGAAGGGAGUAAAGUUAAUACCUUUGCUCAUUGACGUUACCCGCAGAAGAAGCACCGGCUAACUCCGUG